rnacentral:rRNA from 1 species
UCGCUAGUAAUCGCGGAUCAGCACGCCGCGGUGAAUACGUUCCCGGGCCUUGUACACACCGCCCGUCACACCACGAGAGUUUGUAACACCCGAAGUCGGUGAGGUAACCUUUUGGAGCCAGCCGCCUAAGGUGGGAUAGAUGAUUGGGGUGAAGUCGUAACAAGGUAGCCGUAUCGGAAGGUGCGGCUGGAUCACCUCCUUUCUAAGGAA